rnacentral:rRNA from 1 species
CCCUUAGAUGUUCUGGGCUGCACGCGCGCUACACUGAAGCUAUCAACACGUUUUCCCUCCCUGAGAAGGGCGGGUAACCUUUUGAAUCAGCUUCGUGGUAGGGAUCGGGGCUUGCAAUUGUUCCCCGUGAACCAGGAAUUCCUAGUAGACGCGAGUCAUAAGCUCGCAUCGAUUAAGUCCCUGCCCUUUGUACACACCGCCCGUCGCUACUACCGAUUGAACGUUUUAGUGAGGCAUUUGGACCGACGCAUCAGUUUAACCGCUGGUUUGUGUUGGAAAGACUUCCAAACUUGAGCGUUUAGAGGAAGUAAAAGUCGUAACA